GCCCAGCACGGUGGCACGUGCCUGUAGUCCCAGCUACUCAGGAGGCUGAGAUGGGAGGAUCGCUUGAGCCCAGGAGUUCUGGGCUGUAGUGCGCUAUGCCGAUUGGGUGUCCGCACUAAGUUCAGCAUCAAUAUGGUGACUUCCCAGGAGCGGGGGACCACCAGGUUGCCUAAGGAGGGGUGAACUGGUCCAGGUCAGAAACGGAGCAGGUCAAAACUCCCAUGCUGAUCAGUAGUGGGAUCGUGCCUGUGAAUAGCCACUGCACUCCAGCCUGGGCAACAUAGUGAGACCCUGUCUCUA
rnacentral:SRP_RNA from 13 species